rnacentral:lncRNA from 1 species
CUUCAAUAUAGGUUUUGAAUACUUAUGCUACCUAAGCAGUUAACCUUUAUCUCCGCUAAUUGAGAGAUGGCUGCAUUGAAAAGUAAUGUGUCACUUUAAAACGCAUUCUAAAUUUUAAACAACUCUAGCAGCAAAGGACAUGGUUUUGAUAAUGGUUGUUAAAAGCUGUCUGACUUAUUCCAGACAGUCUUAAUAAUGAGAACUAUGUGAUCUGAAAUACUGAACUUCUGGAAUUACAAUAACUUCUGUUAAUAUGUGUGAUACAGAUUCCUGGAAACUUGAGGAGCAGUCUUCCAGCAGCCAAGGAAUGCAGUUCCCCCCGGAUGUGUGGGUAUCUUGCAGAAAUCGAACAGAAGUGGGACAGACCAGUAGUAAGAACAGUUGCAUGGAAAUGGAGCCUAUUCUAUUUUACUCUUCUUCAAAGUGCUGUAAGGUGGCUAUUUGAUGAAGGAAAUGAACAGGAUACAAAAUUGGGACGAGUGACUGAUAUACCAGAGGGCUGUGCUGCCAUUCACAGGCUGGAGAAAUGGGCAGAGAGGAACCUCAUGAAGUUCAACAAAGGGAAAUGCAAAGUCCUGCCCCUGAGGAGGAAUAACCCUAGGCACCAGGACAGGCUGGAGGCCGACCUGCUGGAGAGCAGCUUGGCAGAAAAGGAUCCUGGUGGACAAGAAGUUGACCAUAAGCCAGCAAUGUGCCCUCACAGUGAAAAAGGCCAACGGUCUUCCUGGGCUGCAUUAGGAGGAGUGUUGCCAGCAGGUCGAGGGAGGUGAUCCUUCCCCUCUACUCAGCCCUGGUGAGGCCACAUCUGGAGUGCUGGGUCCAGUUCUGGGCUCCCCAGUACAAGAGAGACCUGGAUGUACUGGAGCAAGUCCAGCAAAGGGUUUCUAAGAUGAUGAAUGGACUGGAGCCUUUGUCAUACAAGGAAAGGCUGAGAGAGCUGGGACUCUUUAGCCUGGAGAAGAGCAGGCUAAGGGGGAUCUUACCAAUGUGUAUAAAUAUCUGAAGGGAGGAUGUAAAGAAGCCAGAGCCAGACUCUCCUCAAUGGUAGCCAGUGACAGGACAAGAGUCAAUGGGUACAACCUGAAACACAGGAAAUUCCAUCUGAAUAUAAGAAAAAAUUUCUUUCCUGUGAGGGUGACUAAGCACUGGAAUAAAUUGCCCAGAGGGGUUGCA